rnacentral:lncRNA from 1 species
AAGAUUCUGAUUCCCUCUGCCCUGUGCCCUACCGACUUCUUGGGUCAACCUUAACUAUGCAAAACACCAAUGUGCACUUCCAGGCACACAUCCCUUCAAGCUCCCAUGAGGAAAUUCCUGUUUGCGGGUUGCUGUUUUCCUGUUCCAGGAGGCUGGCUGGCCCUCCAGAGCUGGAGGGUAGGAGUGCUGGGAGUUUCCUUCCCAUCUCUGAGACCAGAUCUCUGUCACUGGAGUCAUGUCUGAGCACUGGCCCAGGGUGCUGGGACCCCGACGGGGAAGCAAUGGGGAGGAAAUGUUUCUCCUGCCCUCCAGCUCCCAAGGACUCACAUGCUCACAUAGACAUCAACCCAACCAGACUGUCCCCC